GUUGGUGUCGUUAAAAAAAAACUUACAUUACACUUUCACAUGUUCUCACAAUUCCAAAGACCUGAUCAUAUUCGUAUAAUAAUAUUAUUUCAAUAACACUUUAUAUAGGGCACUAUCCCAUGUUACAUUUACCGGAACUCGAAAAGAUACUAAUUUUUGGGUUCUAAAUCCAACCUAGUUGAGAUCUCCUUCAUCUAUAAUAUUGUUUAUUCAUCUUAUUGCACAUAAAAAUAAAACUUGCACUCACAAUUAAAUUUAACACAUUGUGCAAUUUGAGGAAGAAGACACAUAUUUUUUGGACAAUCGUUGUCAAGUGUGCAUUUCCAAUCUACAAAGACAAAUAAGAAUUAAUGAACAUUACCUACAUAAACGAAAUAUUGUGUAUAGCAUAAAGAAGAAAAUAUGAAAAUAAUAUAAAAACUUACUUACAGCCAUUGGUAACAACAAGUAAUAGAGAAAAAAAU
rnacentral:lncRNA from 1 species